GAACGCUGGCGGUAUGCUUAACACAUGCAAGUCGAACGAAAGUUUUUAACUUUAGUGGCGAACGGGUGCGUAAUACGUGAGAAUCUGCCCUUAGGAGAAGAAUAACUGCUGGAAACGGCUGCUAAAUCUUCAUAUGCCGAGAGGUGAAAUAGUUUAGGCUGCCUAAGGAUGAGCUCGCGCCUGAUUAGCUAGUUGGUAAGGUAAUGGCUUACCAAGGCCACGAUCAGUAGCUGGUUUGAGAGAACGAUCAGCCACACUGGGACUGAGACACGGCCCAGACUCCUCCGGGAGGCAGCAGUGAGGAAUUUUCCGCAAUGGGCGAAAGCCUGACGGAGCAAUACCGCGUGAGGGAUGAAGGAUUUUGGUCUGUAAACCUCUUUUCUCAAGAAAGAAGUUCUGACGGUACUCGAGGAAUAAGCAUCGGCUAACUCCGUGCCAGCAGCCGCGGUAAUACGGGGGAUGCAAGCGUUAUCCGGAAUCAUUGGGCGUAAAGCGCCUGUAGGUUGUUUACUAAGUCUGUUGUUAAAGACUAGGGCUUAACCCUAGAAAAGCAAUGGAAACUUGUAGACUAGAGUAUGGCAGGGGUAGAGGGAAUUUCUAGUGUAGCGGUGAAAUGCGUAGAUAUUAGAAAGAACACCAGUGGCGAAAGCGCUCUACUGGACCAUUACUGACACUCAGAGGCGAAAGCUAGGGUAGCAAAAGGGAUUAGAUACCCCUGUAGUCCUAGCCGUAAACGAUGGAUACUAGAUGUUGUGCUUAGUACAGUAUCGUAGCUAACGCGUUAAGUAUCCCGCCUGGGGAGUACGCUCGCAAGGGUGAAACUCAAAGGAAUUGACGGGGGCCCGCACAAGCGGUGGAGCAUGUGGUUUAAUUCGAUGCAACGCGAAGAACCUUACCAGGGCUUGACAUACUACAAAUUCUUUUGAGAAAGAGAAGUGCCUUCGGGAAUGUAGAUACAGGUGGUGCAUGGCUGUCGUCAGCUCGUGUCGUGAGAUGUUGGGUUAAGUCCCGCAACGAGCGCAACCCUUAUUUUUAGUUACCAAUUCGUUGGGUUUUUAGAAAGACUGCCGGUGACAAACCGGAGGAAGGUGAGGAUGACGUCAAGUCAGCAUGCCCCUUAUGUCCUGGGCUACACACGUGCUACAAUGGUUAAGACAAAGAGUCGCAAGCUCGCGAGAGUUAGCUAAUCUAUUAAACUUAGCCUAAGUUCAGAUUGUAGGCUGCAACUCGCCUACAUGAAGUUGGAAUCGCUAGUAAUCGCUGGUCAGCCAUACAGCGGUGAAUCCGU
rnacentral:rRNA from 1 species